CCUACGGGAGGCUGCAGUAGGGAAUCUUCCACAAUGGACGAAAGCCUGAUGGAGCAACGCCGCGUGAGUGAAGAAGGGUUUCGGCUCGUAAAGCCCUGUUGGUAGUGAAGAAAGAUAGAGGUAGUAACUGGCCUUUAUUUGACGGUAAUUACUUAGAAAGUCACGGUUAACUACGUGCCAGCAGCCGCGGUAAUACGUAGGUGGCAAGCGUUGUCCGGAUUUAUUGGGCGUAAAGCGAGUGCAGGCGGCUCAAUAAGUCUGAUGUGAAAUCCUUCGGCUCAACCGGAGAAUUGCAUCAGAAACUGUUGGGCUUGAGUGCAGAAGAGGAGAGUGGAACUCCAUGUGUAGCGGUGGAAUGCGUAGAUAUAUGGAAGAACACCAGUGGCGAAGGCGGCUCUCUGGUCUGCAACUGACGCUGAGGCUCGAAAGCGUGGGUAGCGAACAGGAUUAGAUACCCCGGUAGUC
rnacentral:rRNA from 1 species